AACGAACGCUGGCGGCAUGCCUAACACAUGCAAGUCGAACGAGACCUUCGGGUCUAGUGGCGCACGGGUGCGUAACGCGUGGGAACCUGCCCUUAGGUUCGGAAUACCUCCCCGAAAGGGGUGCUAAUACCGGAUAAUGUCUUCGGACCAAAGAUUUAUCGCGUUUGGUGGGGCCCGCGUUGGAUUAGCUAGUUGGUAGGGUAAAAGCCUACCAAGGCGACGAUCCAUAGCUGGUCUGAGAGGAUGAUCAGCCACACUGGGAGUGAGACGCGGCCCGGACUCUUACGGGAGGCAGCAGUGGGGAAUAUUGGACAAGGGGGUAAGGCAUGAUCCAGCAAUGCCGCGUAAGUGAUGAAGGCCUUAGGGUUGAAAAGCUCUUUUACCCGGGAUGAUAAUGACAGUACCGGAAGAAUAAGCUCCGGCUAACUCCGUG
rnacentral:rRNA from 1 species